rnacentral:lncRNA from 1 species
CUUUUUUUUUUUUCUUUUUUUUUUUUUUUUUUCUUUUUUUGGCCUUCUAGAAUUGCUGCCUGCCUGUCUCUCCCAUGAUCUGGGCUCUAGGGGGGCCGACCCCUAAGGGCUGUAUAAUCUAGGUGCCCUUGUCCUCAGCUAUGUAUAGAAUUUGGCCAAUGUGAGCAAGAAAUUCAUGGGUAAGAGGAGAGGAAGGUCAGGAUAUUUCCUCCCCAUCGGAUGCUACACUUCAGUCCCCUUGUAACCACAGCUCCUAUCAUAAAGCCACUAGUUCACGAAACCAGCUCUGCCUUGACAUACUAACAGCAGGUCUAGAGGAGACAAACAGCUUCCUAUCAGAUUCCUCAUCACCCCUCGUUCGUUUUCCUAACACUGACCACAUUUACAUAAAUCUCCCUUCAUUCAGGACUCCUCCAAAUCCCACCUGAUACGUCCCAUCCUGCCCUCUACCGCUGUAAUUUAUUUCUGUCAUUAUCAAAUAGCGUUACUAAUAAAGUUACACAAGAUGUUCUUGUGUGUCCUUCCAAAAAAUAAGUAAGCAGGCAUAGAUCCUGACCCAGAGGAUUUGAGUCUAAUAUGGCCAGAAUUGAGCAAACACCACAGGGGAAGCUAGCUAAAUUCCCACAUCUGCAAAUUCCUACAAAGAGUGUCCGAAAAUAGAUAGUCAAGUAAUCUCUCUUGCAAAGUAAGAAUGCAACCCUGGGUAGUCUUGUCCUGUCUUGCAGACAAAUGUAACCAAAACAGGUUGAUAAAGGGAUGGGAGGGUGAGGGGGGGUGGGUGGGUAGAGUGACUUGCCCAAAGGCACACAGUUAAUUAGUGGAACAGUGAGUCAAAAUCCAGGUCUCAUGACUCACGGUCCAUUGCUCUAUUUUCUUCACUAUUUUUCCUCUUUGAUAAAGACAACUGUGUGUGCCUACCCAUCACUUGUAAAUAAAGUCGGGGUAAUAAAUCAUGGUUUCCUCAAUCAUAACAUUGAAGGGAUGAUGAUUCAGUUGAAUAAUGAAAAAAUACUGGUUUUACUGCAACAAUGGCUGUGGUUCUGAUGCAGGACUCAGCACAGGCUAUUAGAAUGGUUACUCAUGCCAUCUCUACAGCCCUCUAGAAGUUUCUCUGGGGUGUAGAGGCAGUAUAACUAGCAUGUAAGUCUAUAGGCACUAAGUUGGGCAGACUGAACUUUGUUUUCCUUCUCUGCCUCUUGCCAGCCUAUUUCCUAAUAUAUAAAAUGAGGAUCAUCAAAGCACCUCCACCAUGGACAUGUUGCAAGGUUUAAACGACUUAAUGCAUGAUGUGCCUAGCAUUUAUUCUGAACCUUAGUGAGAAAUCAAUAAAUAUUCGUCAUCAUCGUUUUGUUAUGACAAUGUCUCCAUAGAACAUCUUUAACAGCAGAACUUGUAAAUGGUUUCUCCUUAAAAAUCAAACCCAGCCCAUUCUUGUAUGUACCUCCAUUUAAUUUUGCUUCCACAAGGUUCUAUAGAAUCGAAUCAUCGGAGCACCUGGGUGGCUCAGCGGCUGAGCAUCUGCCUUUGGCCCAGGUCAUGAUCCCGGCUCCUGGGAUCAAGUCCUGCAUCAGGCUCCUCACAGAGAGCCUGCUUCUCCCUCUGCCUGUGUCUCUGCCUCUCUCUCUGUGUCUCUCAUGAGUAAAUAAAUAAAUAAAUCUUAAAAAAAAAAAAAGAAUCCAAGUAUUAUUGUUCCACUGGAAUACUUGGAACCCUUCUUAUGCCCCGGCACCUAUGACUAUGCACACCCUAGGAAUAUAAUGCUCUUUUAAUUAAACAUUGUAAAAUCUGUACAAAUCUUGAA